rnacentral:tRNA from 1 species
GCCGGGGUGGCGGAAUUGGUAGACGCAAAGGACUUAAAAUCCUUUGGGUGUUUUCACCCGUGCCGGUUCGAGUCCGGCCCUCGGUAC